rnacentral:rRNA from 1 species
CGGCGGACGGGUGGAGUAAUGCCUAGGAAUCUGCCUGGUAGUGGGGGACGAACGUUUCGAAAGGAACGCUAAUACCGCCAUACGUCCUACGGGAGAAAGCAGGGACCUUCGGGCCUUGCGCUAUCAGAUGAGCCUAGGUCGGAUUAGCUAGUUGGUGAAGUAAUGGCUCACCAAGGCGACGAUCCGUAACUGGUCUGAGAGGAUGAUCAGUCACACUGGAACUGAGACACGGUCCAGACUCCUACGGGAGGCAGCAGGC